rnacentral:snoRNA from 1 species
CGCAAAUGAUGUAAGCGAAUAUUUGCUAUCUUACCACCACUGAAGACAAUCUUCCCACCAAGAUCGCUGAUGCG